CGUAACUUUUCUCUUUGUACAUUUUUUUCUUCCAACCGUGGCUUUUCUUGAUAGAUAACCGGGCAUCAAGUCUUUCCUCCCAUCUUCUCCCAUGUUUCUUUCUUUUCUCUUUCCUCUUCAUGAAUUAUCUUCCCUUUUUCCUCCCUCAUAACAGAACCUAAGAAGGAUUUGGUGGUUUGGCUUAAAAUCCCAAGAAUAUUCGAGAGUAAGCCGGUUGUCACUCCGAUUAAGUGUGACCCUUGUGCACAAGUGAACUCUAGCUAGAGAACCCUUGAGUCACCGACAGGCUGUUAGACAUGGCUGGGGUCAGAGUCUAUGAUUUUACGUGGCUAGGCCACAAGUUGUUAUACUCGGUUGCGACCGCCUAAUUUUCUCCAAUGUCGAUCAACAUCGUUGAGACUACCAUGGCAUGUGGAGAUCCGGUGGAGCGGAGCUCCUAGAUGCUAUUACGUGGAAGCGAGUCCAGCAUCUCGAGGCUGGCUACAACCUAGGUAAUGGCAUCUCUAGACUUCCACUCAGAGUCGCUUCGCUGCCUAAAAGUCGUUUGUGUCAAAUAGUCAGGCUUGUAAUAAUUAAUAGUUACUGAAAA